UUCUUCAGGGCAGGGUGUAAUUCCUGACCGGCGGUGAUCCUCUUUGGUCAGCCCGCGAGCAAGCGUGAUUCCAUCAUGUGAGCAGAUCUAGUGACAUUCUAGAGCCGACGGUAAUAGUCCGGAUGAAAGAAGAA
rnacentral:ncRNA from 1 species